CCUACGGGGGGCUGCAGUGGGGAAUUUUCCACAAUGGGCGAAAGCCUGAUGGAGCAAUACCGCGUGAAGGAUGAAGCGCCGUGGCGUGUAAACUUCUUUUCUUAAGGAAGAAACAAUGACGGUACUUAAGGAAUAAGCACCGGCUAACUCUGUGCCAGCAGCCGCGGUAAUACAGGGGGUGCAAGCGUUGUCCGGAAUGAUUGGGCGUAAAGCAUCUGUAGAUGGUUUUGAAAGUCAACUGUUAAAUCCCAGAGCUUAACUUUGGCCAAGCAGUU
rnacentral:rRNA from 1 species